GGUAUGUGUGUGUGAAACAUCAGAACUGAAUAAUGGACCAGAGAAUUCAGAGAUCUUUGGUUACCUGUUUCCGGUUUCGUCGGUUCACACUUCACAUUGCUGCGUUCCUGACCUAGCUUCGCCUGCAUCAGUAGAUCAUAUUAUAAUAUGCAUUAUAGACUAUAGUUAUACAGCUUGAAUUUGAAAGAGCUACAUGGUCGUUGUUUCGAGUGCUUUUUCAUCUGCUGUGAUGAAUUGGCAGACAGCAUCAACGGUUACCAACAUAAUAGGUGCAUUGCAAGUUGUGCAAUGCUGAAUGCAUGCGUUUCGUCAGUGACUUCCUUCUGCCUCAUUGAUGCGAAACUGAUAAUAAACAUGCAAGAGAAUACAGCUAUAGUUACUCUGGACUGCCAUGAUAGAAACAUUGAAACAGAUAUUGACUGGCUUUAGGUAUGUGAGACGUUUUUAUUGGUGUUGCAAACGAUGUAACGAUCACUAAAUUCUGUGCCUAUGUGAGAUUUGUUGGUUCAUCGAAUAACAUGAAACUUACAGUUGUUACUCUACGUUUCCCUCAUUAAUUACUCUUCCACUCAAACUUCUCUGGGAUUGGUGGAAAAAGGAGAGAAAACUUCGACUGAAAUACGAUAAGGAAGGUAAACGGUCAAGCAAAGUGUGCAAGGUCGUUGAUGGAGUAUUCUAUGUGAAAUCCUCUCACCGGUCUGAGCCCCACCAAC